CCUCCAUUUGGCUGUCUGUACAUCAAAUCUGUUACUUGUGACUGCCGCGUGCAGGGAGGCAUCACACACAUCUGAGGAUAGAACAGGGAGCCCGGUGGCCAGCACACAGGACCUGUGAGCACCCAGCGCUGGGGUGGGCAUGGCGUGAGGCCUGACAGCCGGAUUAUCUGGCUCAUCUCUUAAUUCUCCCUGGAAGAGCGUCUGGUGGAAGCUCAGGGCAACAGCCCUCACUGGGAGGAAAGACACGGAGGCCCAACGAGAGUCACAAAGUCAUGCAUCUGUGGGGCAGGGACAGAGGGGCCUGAAGCUUACACAGUGUGGUUAUUUUGUUUGUUUGUACAUUUGUUUUGGUUGAAGGGGGGGCUCUGAAAGAAAAAGAAUACAAAAUAACAAAAACAAUUAAAAUGAGUACAAACCUGAAAAUUUAUCUAGAAUGAGGAAAAAAGCAUACUAAAUUACAAAUAUUAAAAAGCCAGGGCUUCUCUGGUGGCACAGUGGUUGAGGGUCCGUCUGCCGAUGCAGGGGACGCGGGUUCGUGCCCCGGUCCGGGAAGAUCCCACAUGCCGCGGAGCGGCUGGGCCCGUGAGCUACGGCCGCUGGGCCUGUGCGUCCGGAGCCUGUGCUCCUCAACGGGAGAGGCCACAGCAGUGAGAGGCCCGCGUACCGGAAAAAAAAAAAAAGCCAAGAGGAGACUUCCCUGGCGGUCCAGUGGUUAAGACUCUGUGCUUCCACUGCAGGGGACAUGGGUUCGAUCCCUGGUUGGGGAACUAAGAUCCUGCAUACCACACGGUGCAGCCACAAAAGAAAAAGGAAAAAAAAGCCGAGAAGUACCACAAACAUCACAAAAUCCAGAAAAAUAACAUAACAUUUUAAUUAAUUUCCAGCCCAAUCUACCUCAAUUGUACUUUUUUUUUUUUUUUAAUUUAUUUGGCUGCGCCGGGUCUUAGUUGCGGCACACGGGAUCUUUAGUUGCAGCAUGUAUGCAGGAUCUAGUUCCCUGACCAGGGAUCGAACCCGGGCCCCCCUGCAUUGGGAGCGAAGAGUCUUAACCACUGCACCACCAGGGAAGUCCCUCUACUGUAUUUCUAUCUUUUUUUGUCUGUAUACUCUUUGAAUACCUCUUCCUGAGACAAUUCUGUAACUGUUUUGUUCUCCACAGAGAAAAUGGAAAGAUAGCCUAGUCUUUCCUCUAAUGUGGCUGAUCCAAACUUGUGUUUUGAUUAUGGAUAGUUUAGAAAAUGUUCACAUUCACAAAUUAUUAUGUUCACAUUCACAAAUUAUGGUAUUGGCAUGUAAAUGUUUGGGAUUGUUGUUAAAUUUGGGGGAAACCUCUAUCAGUUUCUUUUGUAUGUAAACUAUAGGAAUUCAGGGCAUUUCAAGUUUUCUUGUUCAAAUCAGCCAAAAAAUUAAACACCAAAAAUCUGAUAAAUUCUA